rnacentral:rRNA from 1 species
UACGAAGGGGCUAGCGUUGUUCGGAUUUACUGGGCGUAAAGCGCACGUAGGCGGAUCGUUAAGUCGGGGUGAAAUCCUGGAGCUCAACUCCAGAACUGCCUCGAUACUGGCGAUCUUGAGUCCGGAAGAGGUGAGUGGAACUCCGUAGUGUAAGAGGUGGAAUUCGUAGAUAUUAGGAAGAACACCAGUGGCGAAGGCGGCUCACUGGUCCGGUACUGACGCUGAGGCACGAAAGCGUGGGGAGCAAACAGG